rnacentral:tRNA from 1 species
UGGUAAUUAGUUUAAACAAAAACAAAUGAUUUCGACUCAUUAGACUAUGAAAAACCCUCAUAAUUACCAU